GAUGAACGCUGGCGGCGUGCCUAACACAUGCAAGUCGAGCGAUUUUCUUCGGAAGAGAGCGGCGGACGGGUGAGUAACGCGUGGGUAACCUGCCUCAUACACAUGGAUAACAUACCGAAAGGUAUUCUAAUACAAGAUGAUAUAAGAGAUUCGCAUGGAUUUCUUAUCAAAGCUCCGGCGGUAUGAGAUGGACCCGCGUCUGAUUAGCUAGUUGGUAAGGUAACGGCUUACCAAGGCGACGAUCAGUAGCCGACCUGAGAGGGUGAUCGGCCACAUUGGAACUGAGACACGGUCCAAACUCCUACGGGAGGCAGCAGUGGGGAAUAUUGCACAAUGGGCGAAAGCCUGAUGCAGCAACGCCGCGUGAGUGAAGAAGGUUUUCGGAUCGUAAAGCUCUGUUGUAAGAGAAGAACGUGUGUGAGAGUGGAAAGUUCACACAGUGACGGUAACUUACCAGAAAGGGACGGCUAACUACGUGCCAGCAGCCGCGGUAAUACGUAGGUCCCGAGCGUUGUCCGGAUUUAUUGGGCGUAAAGCGAGCGCAGGCGGUUUAAUAAGUCUGAAGUUAAAGGCAGUGGCUUAACCAUUGUUCGCUUUGGAAACUGUUAAACUUGAGUGCAGAAGGGGAGAGUGGAAUUCCAUGUGUAGCGGUGAAAUGCGUAGAUAUAUGGAGGAACACCGGUGGCGAAAGCGGCUCUCUGGUCUGUAACUGACGCUGAGGCUCGAAAGCGUGGGGAGCAAACAGGAUUAGAUACCCUGGUAGUCCACGCCGUAAACGAUGAGUGCUAGGUGUUAGGCCCUUUCCGGGGCUUAGUGCCGCAGCUAACGCAUUAAGCACUCCGCCUGGGGAGUACGACCGCAAGGUUGAAACUCAAAGGAAUUGACGGGGGCCCGCACAAGCGGUGGAGCAUGUGGUUUAAUUCGAAGCAACGCGAAGAACCUUACCAGGUCUUGACAUCCCAGUGACCGCUCUAGAGAUAGAGUUUUUCUUCGGAACACUGGUGACAGGUGGUGCAUGGUUGUCGUCAGCUCGUGUCGUGAGAUGUUGGGUUAAGUCCCGCAACGAGCGCAACCCUUAUUGUUAGUUGCCAUCAUUCAGUUGGGCACUCUAGCGAGACUGCCGGUAAUAAACCGGAGGAAGGUGGGGAUGACGUCAAAUCAUCAUGCCCCUUAUGACCUGGGCUACACACGUGCUACAAUGGUUGGUACAACGAGUCGCAAGUCGGUGACGGCAAGCAAAUCUCUUAAAGCCAAUCUCAGUUCGGAUUGUAGGCUGCAACUCGCCUACAUGAAGUCGGAAUCGCUAGUAAUCGCGGAUCAGCACGCCGCGGUGAAUACGUUCCCGGGCCUUGUACACACCGCCCGUCACACCACGAGAGUUUGUAACACCCGAAGUCGGUGAGGUAACCGUAAGGAGCCAGCCGCCUAAGGUGGGAUAGAUGAUUGGGGUG
rnacentral:rRNA from 1 species